rnacentral:rRNA from 1 species
ACKGCUCAGUAACACGUGGCUAACCCACCCUCGGGACGGAGACAACCCCGGGAAACUGGGGCUAAUCCCCGAUAGGCGAAGACCCCUGGAACGGGUCCUCACCCAAAAGGCGUCACAGUCAUGCUCUGUAACCUCGCCCGAGGACGGGGCCGCGACCGAUCAGGUAGUUGGUGAGGCAACGGCUCACCAAGCCUAUAACCGGUACGGGCCGUGGGAGCGGGAGCCCGGAGAUGGGCACUGAGACAAGGGCCCAGGCCCUACGGGGCGCAGCAGUCGCGCAAACUUUGCAAUACACGAAAGUGUGACAGGGCUAUCCCGAGUGCCGUCCGCUGAGGGUGGCUUUUACCCAGUCUAGAAAGCUGGGAGAAUAAGGAGAGGGCAAGUCUGGUGUCAGCCGCCGCGGUAAUACCAGCUCUCCGAGUGGUGUGGAUGUUUAUUGGGCCUAAAGCAUCCGUAGCUGGCUGAUCAAGUCCCCUGUUAAACCCAACGAAUUAAUCGUUGGAUUGCGGGGGAUACUGCUCGGCUAGGGGACGAGAGAGGCCGACGGUAUUUUCGGGGUAGGGGUGAAAUCCUAUAAUCCCGGGAAGACCACCAGUGGCGAAGGCUGUCGGCUAGAACGCGCCCAACGGUGAGGGAUGAAAGCUGGGGGAGCGAACCGGAUUAGAUACCCGGGUAGUCCCAGCUGUAAACGAUGCAGGCUAGGUGUUUGGGCGGCCACGCGCCGCUCUAGUGCCGCAGGGAAGCUGUUAAGCCUGCCGCCUGGGGAGUGCGGCCGCAAGGCUGAAACUUAAAGGAAUUGGCGGGGGAGCAC